rnacentral:rRNA from 1 species
GACGUAGGGCGCGAGCGUUGUCCGGAUUUAUUGGGCGUAAAGAGCUCGUAGGCGGCUCAUUGCGUCAACCGUGAAAUCCUGCUGCUCAACGGCAGGUCUGCGGUUGAUACGGGUGGGCUGGAGUUCGGUAGGGGAGACUGGAAUUCCUGGUGUAGCGGUGAAAUGCGCAGAUAUCAGGAGGAACACCGGUGGCGAAGGCGGGUCUCUGGGCCAGUUCUGACGCUGAGGAGCGAAAGCGUGGGGAGCGAACAGG